UACGUAGGUGACAAGCGUUGUCCGGAUUUACUGGGCGUAAAGAGCGCGCAGGCGGUCGUUCAAGUCGAGUGUGAAAGCCCCCGGCUCAACUGGGGAGGGUCACUCGAUACUGAUCGACUUGAAGGCAGGAGAGGGAAGCGGAAUUCCCGGUGUAGUGGUGAAAUGCGUAGAUAUCGGGAGGAACACCAGUGGCGAAGGCGGCAUCCUGGACCGGUAGUUGACGCUGA
rnacentral:rRNA from 1 species